CAUUCACGGAGAGUUUGAUCCUGGCUCAGGACGAACGCUGGCGGCGUGCUUAACACAUGCAAGUCGAACGGUGAAGCCUUUCGGGGUGGAUCAGUGGCGAACGGGUGAGUAACACGUGGGCAAUCUGCCCUGCACUCUGGGACAAGCCCUGGAAACGGGGUCUAAUACCGGAUAUUACCUGAGGGGG
rnacentral:rRNA from 1 species